ACAGUUGAACACCACAAAUCCGAAUACUACACGCGGCACGGUGGACGUGAUCGUAACGGUUUUCUCAUUUCCGAAACAGAAAUUCGUUAAUUACCAGUACCGAAUUCGAAGAAUAUUCGCACGAUUAAUAGUGGCCCGGAGGCCACUUUCACCAGAACAGGCAACAGGCGGGCGAACAAAGGCUCAGCCAGGAGGGGUGGGAUUUGCUAACAGCUGCCCGAUCGCCUCCGAAGAAGACCUAAAACUCAAGAGCAGCUGCUUCGCGAAUGAAUCUACUACCGGAUCGGAAUCGCGACACGCUGAGAAAAUCCGACGAGAAACUCAGCGGGCUGAUGCAUGGGUUAGGUUGCACGUCGAACUCUUUGUCGAGUUCGACGAGUAAAGUUACUGGGGUCCCUGAGCCUGCUCCUAGUGUUAGAGCUGAAGGCGUCUAAUGCAAGAGUUUUUGUAUCUGAUGGAUCCCUAAGGACGUGUCUAGGGCGACGACGGUGACUUGCUCCUGCGUGAUCAAGAUUCGGGGAGACGCUGCGUUGUCUAUGGCUCCGGCAACUACUAAAGGCCAUGGCCAUACUCGUUUACAAUUCUAUUUUUUUUUUUAAAUUGACUUUUUAUAAAUAAAUAAAACAAAGAAAAGAAUUAAGUAAAUAUAAUUAUGUAAGUAGGUGAACGAUAUUAUUUUAAUGGGCAUUAUUUAUGAAACUACCGUAUUUUUGUGUAAUAUUUAAUCUCUUUUCAGGAUUUUUAAGAAGAGAACCACUUUUGUAAUUGUUAUUUUAAGAGUUAAGAUAUUUCUUGACUUAUGAUAUUUCAAUAAAUUAUAUAUUAUCGAUUUUUGUUUAA